rnacentral:lncRNA from 1 species
AUGCAAUUUCUUUGUAUAAGAUUGUAUCAUAGCAAAAAAUGAAUAAAGAGUGGGAGCAAAAGACGUGAAGUGCGUACUAGCCAUCAGUGAUAUGGAACUGUCCCCUUCGCUUAGCUGAUGCACCAGUACACCUCAAAAAAAAAAAACUGAUGCACCAGUGGGUAGAAAAUGCCAGUAACUUAUCCAACAACAUCUGUGCAUAGGAAAUGGAUAAAUGAAUUACCGAUGUAAACACUACAGUCAGCAUUCCAACGAAAUGCAUCUGUAAUUAACUGACUUGACAGGUUUGUAUUCAAUCGAAUUCGUUUUUCAAAGUAAUGCUAUAGGAUAGGUUGUGUAUCCAAACUUGGGGAAAAAAUUCUGGUUCAGGAACCUGGAUGGGCGCUCCGUCGCUCUAUAUUUCUUAGAGAUUUCAAAGGAACCAAUCUUGUAAACUGCUCCUUCGCAAAUUCUAUUAUCAAAGAUGUGCAUUCUUUUUUCAGUAAUUGCUCCCUCUAUUGUGCCAUCCUAGUAAGGCAGAUGGUAAUGAUAGAUCAGAAAGCAUGAACAAUUGUGCGAGUCUUACCUUGGAGUCUACCAUGACGAAGUUCUGACCAUAUAAUUCAGUCCUAUCAUCGCUCCAAUAUUCCCAUAUCCUAGUGAUUCGAACAGUUAAUUUAUCCUUGUAUGAAAAAUGAGUUGGUCAUCCAUCAGCUAGGCCCUAAAACAUGUAAACAAAGCAUUAGCUAUACGAAGCGUCUGGAUCUAAUAACUUUAAUAGUUUUACAAUACAUAAUGAGAUGUUGAAUAUUCUUUGGUUGUGAAUGUAGAAAUGCUGAUGCCAUUAAGAAAAUGUAAAUUAAAUUACGUGAAUGAGUUGGACCGAGGCUAGCACAUCAAAAAUCCUUCUGUGGCUUGUAGAAAAAAUGGUUCAAAGAAGAAUAACAAAUUCAGUAAAAAAAAUGUCCAAUUUUGCCACAGAAAGAGAAACAUGCUGGCAAAAAGCACACAGAUCAAAGAAUCAAGAGGAGCAGGUGCAGCCCGAU